UAUUACGUGUUUGAGCCUUUGAGGUACAAAACUUAGAACCCCAAUGGGUUUGACUUUAGUGACUUUUUGACUCACAGCUCAGGGAAGUCGAAAUAGUGCGCAUUUGAAACCGACCAUGAACAAUGUCCGGCUCCUCCUCCGCCGUGGCUAUGCCACCAAAUACAGCGGCAGAGUCAUCACCGAAAUGGACAACGGCCGUUCAUUCGCCGUCGAAGUCGAAGUCCCAAACAUCCAACAACUUGACCCCAGAGGCUACCCUCUCCCUCGCCGUGACCUUGUCUGCAAGGUCGUCAACAUUCUCCAGUCCCGGUCAUCGGACCCCUUCAUCGAACUUUCCGACUAUCUGGAAACCCUAACCCUAACCAUCACCCCUUCCGAAGCAUCCGAAAUCCUCAAAUCGCUCCAUUCAUCAUCUCUUGCACUCCAAUUCUUUCGAUUUUGCCCCUCUUCUAUCCCUAAAUUUCGUCACGAUUGCUUCACCUACAACCGCAUUCUCCUCAUCCUCUCCAAGUCUUCCUCCCCUGACCGGUUAGACUCUGUCCGUCGUAUUAUCGACGAGAUGGAGCGGUCGCGCGUGCAUGGCAACAUCUCCACCGUCAACCUUUUGAUCGGAAUAUUCGGCGGCGGUGAAGAUUUGGACAGGUGCUUACGGCUGGUUAAAAAAUGGGAGCUCAGGAUGAAUCGCUAUACAUAUAAAUGCCUUCUGCAAGCUCAUUUACGCUCUCGUGAUUCAAACAAGGGCUUGGAAGUUUAUCAAGAGAUGAAACGGAAAGGAUAUCAACCGGAUAUCUUUGCCUACAAUAUGCUACUUGAUGCUCUUGCCAAAGACGAAAAGGUUGAUGAAGCGAACAAGGUUUUUGAAGACAUGAAGAAGAAACACUGUGAGCCUGAUGAAUAUACAUACACAAUUCUGAUCAGAAUGACUGGAAAACAUGGGAAGCUUGAUGAUGCAAUAUCACUCUUUCAAGAAAUGCUAUCAAAGAACCUAGCUCCAAAUCUAAUUGCUUACAACACUACAAUCCAGGUUCUUGCUACAAACCGAUUGGUUGACAAAACUAUAUACCUCUUUUCAAAAAUGGUAGAAAACAAUUGCUGCCCAAAUGAAUUCACUUACAGUAUCAUCCUCAAUGUCCUAGCUUCAGAAGGACAACUUGGUAGACUCGAUGAAGUUGUGGAAAUAUCAAAGAAGUACAUGAACAAGGGCAUAUAUGCAUACCUUGUACGUACACUUAGUAAAUUAGGUCAUGCUAGUGAAGCUCAUCGCCUCUUUUGCUACAUGUGGAGCUUCCAUGAUAAAGGAGAUAGAGAUGCUUACUUAUCCAUGUUAGAGAGUUUAUGUAAAGAAGAUAAAAUGAAUGAAGCUAUAGACUUAUUAAGUAAGAUUCAUGAAAAGGGGAUAAGUUCAGAUACUAUUAUGUACAACACUGUGUUCACUGCUCUUGGGAAAUCAAAACAGGUAUCUCAUAUUCUUGAUUUAUAUAACAAGAUGAAAGAAGAAGGGCCUCAACCAGAUAUAUUCACUUACAAUAUAUUGAUUUCAAGCUUUGGGAGAGCUGGAAGAGUUGAUGAGGCUGUUAAGAUCUUUGAUGAGCUGGAGAAUAGUGACUGUAAGCCUGAUAUUGUAUCAUAUAAUUCUUUAAUAAAUUGCUUAGGGAAAAAUGGUGAUGUUGAUGAAGCUUACAUGAGGUGUAAAGAGAUGGAAGAGAAGGGGUUGAAUCCGGAUGUUGUAACGUAUAGUACAUUGAUCGAGUGUUUUGGGAAAUCAGAUAAAGUAGAAAUGGCUUGUAGAUUGUUUGAUGAAAUGCUUUCUGAAGGGUGUUGUCCUAAUAUUGUUACAUAUAACAUAUUGUUGGAUUGCCUUGAGAGAAGUGGGAGAACUGCUGAAGCUGUUGACUUGUAUGCAAAGCUUAAAGAACAAGGUUUGACUCCGGAUUGGAUUACGUAUUCCAUUCUUGAACGUUUACAAAGUGGUUCUCAUAGGAGAUUUAGAAGUAGGAGGCAAAAUCCAAUUACUGGAUGGGUUGUUAGUCCUUUAAGGUGAUAAUUGGAUUAUGAAGAUGAAGUCUGAAUGCUGAAGUUUGGAAUGUGGAAGUUGUUUUCUUCAUUGGAAAAAGAAUUCGGUUGGCUUCUCUUCGAUAUGCUUGAAAAUAUAUUCUGGGUUUAUGGGGAAGGCACAAAGUAGGGUAACAAAAGUCUAGAUGUACUAGAGAAUAAAAGUAAAUAAAUAAUGGCAGCAAGUUGUUUCUAGUAUAACUUUAUUAUUAUUAUUUUUUUUUCAUAUUUGUUGUAAUAUCUUAUAUUUUAUUAAUUUAUUUAUUUUGUAUUUAUAAUAGCUAUAUUUGUGAUUUACGUUAAACAAUCAAUUAACUUAAAUCUGAUUAUCUUUAUUAUUAAUUUUUUAUUUUACAAAAUAUGCAUUAGAUAAAAUUAACAACAAUUAACAUAUAAAUUAUAUUUAAAAUAUGAAAAAUUCAUGGUAGAAUAUAUUCUUUUAGCUAUGUUGAAUUUUUGACAUGGUAACACAACAAACUUAUAAUUUACUUUUAAAAUAUAAAAAUUUGUGGUAAGCAAUUAUUUAUUUAUUUAUUUUGGUUAUGUAAGAGUAUUUAAUAUAUUACUUAAUAUAUUUCAUUUAGAUGCAAUAUUAUUUGCAACACGGUCUUCAUAACUACUUUUUUUUUACUCAUAUAUUUUGUUACCUCUGUUAACUUGGACAUGCCAUAUUUUCUAUACUAGAUUCGUUACUAUCAACUUGACCCGAACCGAUAACCAAACUUUUUCAAACAUGUUAAUUUAAAUAUCUCAAUUAAGAUGGACACCCUUGAGUUUGAAUCCUGGAUUCGCCACUGGGGUAUGGUCAUUUUCUCCCACCUUUUUAAUACCAAUCUGCUCUACAACCCUUAUAUACUUUCAUUUAUUAAAUCUUUGAUUUCCCCCAACAUAUUAUCCAUUUUGUCAUAUAUUUCGCCUAUUUUUGGGCCUUUAGCCCUUCAUCAUUGCAAAAUAUGACCAACAGAAAAGUAGGCUUCGUGAUGCAUAUAGUAUUUUCAACUUCGAUCCAAAUGUCGUCAUCUCUGAAGUGUCGAUAGCCUUUACAACUUGUCUACUGUGUUCAUCGCCUUGUUUCUCCCUAUCUCCCCAUGAAUUACAAGCAAUUGUUGUAGAUAGGGCUUCUCUAUAAGUGAUUAACCUCCUCAACAAAAUAUUGUGAGACGUAAAUUGGGUUUUUGCAACCUUUAAAAGCUCUGACUUUGAAUUGUCCCUAAAAAUGGCUAAAGCUUGUACAUGGUUUAAAAAAUAUUUGACAAUCUUUUUCCCUUUUUUUUGUGUCAUUUGGCAAAUAAACUCACUUGCAAAGUCUUUAAAAAUCAAGUUCAAUGUAAUUACAUAACACGGUGACCAAAAAAUAUGCUUGUAUAUCUUUUCGAUUUUCUUUCCCCCAACUUUACAAUUGGUGACAUUGUUUGACACGACACGACACUACACUGAAAACAUUACUUGGGUUGACAAAAUCAAUCGCUUCGCCUAGAAAUUAAACAAUUAUGUAUAGGAACAUAAAACGUGGCUGUUUAUGGCAAGACCAUUGUUUAAUGAUUUACGUUUGAUGUUUGUCCACCAAUCAGGUAUUAUAGAAAUACCGUGUGAAUACCAUGUAUCUUUAAAUGGUGUUAAGUCCUCAACAUCUCUCACACAUUCAUCUAGUAGAACGGUUCUUGCUUACUCAUUAGAUAUGCUUUAUAACGUUGGGUGUCUUUCUUGUUGCAUUUACCAUUUCAUGAAAUUGCGAAUUACGCAAAAUUUUAAAAGGAAUCCCGUUUGCACAUAAAGCCCUCAUAUUUUAAAAGUCAACCACAAUUCUCUCAAUUAUGGCAUCACAAAGCCUAUUUUUCUGUUGGUCAAAUUUGUGCGAUGGUGAAGGUUCCAAAAUAGGCGAAAUAUAUGAGAUAAUGGAUAAUAUGUUGGGAGAAAUCAAAGAUGUGAUGAAAGAAAGUAUAUAUGCAUCAUAUUUUCCUCAAGCAGAGCAAAUUGUAUCGAAAAGGUGAGAGAAAAUGACCAUACCAUUACAUUGUCUGGGAUUUGCGUUUACUCCACGAUUUUAUGACACAUUAUUUUGAAACGUUAGCAUCGAGUAGAAUACAUAGAAAACCACCUAACCUUGAUAAAGAAGUUGUACAAGGUGUCAUGAAAGUUUUUAAUUGCAUUCCUUUAAAUAGAGACGAAGAAUGGAUAUUGUGAGAACAAUUAGCUACGUUUCACAUGAACAAGAGUCUUUAUACAUUACAAUGGAAACAGUUGAUUGGUGGUCUACUUAUUGACCCAGAAACACCAAAGUUAGUUAAGUGGCAAAAAAAUGUUUGUCACAACAUAUAAAUAGUUCUUUAUAGAAAUUGGAACACUUAUUCUUUUAUCCAUAAUGUGAAAAGAAAUCGGCUAAACUGUAAAAGGGCCGACAAACUUGUUUUUGUU